rnacentral:rRNA from 1 species
AGCGAACGCUGGCGGCAGGCUUAACACAUGCAACUCGAGCGGGCGUAGCAAUACGUCAGCGGCAGACGGGUGAGUAACACGUGGGAACGUACCCUUUGGUUCGGAACAACACAGGGAAACUUGUGCUAAUACCGGAUAAGCCCUUACGGGGAAAGAUUUAUCGCCGAAGGAUCGGCCCGCGUCUGAUUAGCUAGUUGGUGAGGUAAUGGCUCACCAAGGCUACGAUCAGUAGCUGGUCUGAGAGGAUGAUCAGCCACACUGGGACUGAGACACGGACCAGACUCCUACGGGAGGCAGCAGUGGGGAAUAUUGGACAAUGGGCGCAAGCCUGAUCCAGCCAUGCCGCGUGAGUGAUGAAGGCCCUAGGGUUGUAAAGCUCUUUCGGCGGGGAAGAUAAUGACGGUACCCGCAUAAGAAGCCCCGGCUAACUUCGUGCCAGCCGCCGCCGUAACAC